CCUACGGGUGGCAGCAGUGAGGAAUAUUGGUCAAUGGACGAGAGUCUGAACCAGCCAAGUAGCGUGAAGGAUGACUGCUCUAUGGGUUGUAAACUUCUUUUAUAUGGGAAUAAAACGUUCCACGUGUGGAAUUUUGUAUGUAUCAUAUGAAUAAGGAUCGGCUAACUCCGUGCCAGCAGCCGCGGUAAUACGGAGGAUCCGAGCGUUAUCCGGAUUUAUUGGGUGUAAAGGGAGCGUAGGUGGAUGGUUAAGUCAGUUGGGAAAGUUUGCGGCUCAACCGUAAAAUUGCAGUUGAAACUGGCAGUCUUGAGUACAGUAGAGGUGGGCGGAAUUCGUGGUGUAGCGGUGAAAUGCUUAGAUAUCACGAAGAACUCCGAUUGCGAAGGCAGUUCACUGGACUGCAACUGACACUGAGGCUCGAAAGUGUGGGUAUCAAACAGGAUUAGAUAUCCGGGUAGUC
rnacentral:rRNA from 1 species